rnacentral:rRNA from 1 species
AGUGAACGCUGGCGGUAGGCCUAACACAUGCAAGUCGAGCGGCAGCACAGUAAGAGCUUGCUCUUACGGGUGGCGAGUGGCGGACGGGUAAGGAAUACAUCGGAAUCUACUUUUUCGUGGGGGAUAACGUAGGGAAACUUACGCUAAUACCGCAUACGACCUACGGGUGAAAGCAGGGGAUCUUCGGACCUUGCGCGAUUGAAUGAGCCGAUGUCGGAUUAGCUAGUUGGCGGGGUAAAGGCCCACCAAGGCGACGAUCCGUAGCUGGUCUGAGAGGAUGAUCAGCCACACUGGAACGGAGACACGGUCCAGACUCCUACGGGAGGCAGCAGUGGGGAAUAUUGGACAAUGGGCGCAAGCCUGAUCCAGCCAUACCGCGUGGGUGAAGAAGGCCUUCGGGUUGUAAAGCCCUUUUGUUGGGAAAGAAAAGCAGCAGGUUAAUACCCCGCUGUUCUGACGGUACCCAAAGAAUAAGCACCGGCUAACUUCGUG